rnacentral:rRNA from 1 species
GAUGAACGCUGGCGGCGUGCCUAAUACAUGCAAGUCGAGCGAACAGACGAGGAGCUUGCUCCUCUGACGUUAGCGGCGGACGGGUGAGUAACACGUGGAUAACCUACCUAUAAGACUGGGAUAACAUCGGGAAACCGGAGAUAAUACCGGAUAAUAUAUUGAACGGCAUGGUUCAAUAGUGCAAGACGGCUUUGCUGUCACUUAUAGAUGGAUCCGCGCCGCAUUAGCUAGUUGGUAAGGUAACGGCUUACCAAGGCAACGAUGCGUAGCCGACCUGAGAGGGUGAUCAGCCACACUGGAACUGAGACACGGUCCAGACUCCUACGGGAGGCAGCAGUAGGGAAUCUUCGGCAAUGGGCGAAAGCCUGACGCAGCAACGCCGCGUGAGUGAUGAAGGUCUUCGGAUCGUAAAGCUCUGUUAUUAGGGAAGAAAAAAUGUGGGUGUAUCUAUGCACGUCUUGACGGUACCUAAACAGAAAGCCACGGCUAACUACGUG